GGGGAUAUAGUUCAGUUGGUAGAGUGCUUGCGUUGCAUGCAUAAGACCCUGGGUUCAAUCCCUAGCACCACUA
rnacentral:tRNA from 1 species